UCCUAUGAUGAUUUGCCUGAUGUGUGAGAUGUAGAUAGCUCCAAGCCCUGUUUGUCAGGGGAACCUACUUGGAGUCCUACAUUCAAAUGAGAUUACUGGGCAUUUUCUGAGGC
rnacentral:snoRNA from 2 species